CUAGUUCUGUUGUUAACUAUUGAGUUUUGAUGGAUGGGUUAGGUUGGAGAGAAUGAAGCCAUCAGAAGGCAAAACAGAGGGGUUCUUUUUUUUUUGUUGCAUUGUUAUAAUGACUUGUGACUUCUGAUUUCUGACCUAUUUUAAUUUCAUCCAUUUAGAUUUGAAUCAAGGACUAACAUCUCUCGGUCACUCAAAACUGAAGCUGCAGUUGGCUAUAGAUACCUGUGGACGUGUCAUGUAAUGCAGGAGCUAACGUCACUCGAUCUUUCUUGCUGCUUUUCCUCUCCAUUUGUCAUUUGAUUGUAUGUUAUCCAUCAAGUUUAAGUCUUACCGAUUUCGAAAGCGAGCAAGAAGUCGAGGAAGGGAGCGACGAGGGAGAAGGUAGAGCGAUUUCGAGGAGACAGAGGCCUCGGCGAUCCAAGUGCUUCUGCUGAGCAGGUAGACCAUAUUACUCCUCUCUGGUUUCUCGCUCCUCACGUCUCUCUCGUUUGCUGCUCCUCACUCCUUUCACGUUUCUGGAUUAUAUCGAUUCUAGGGUUUCAUCGCCCACUUGUCAUUCGUUGAUCUUUGCGUUGGAUUCUGAAGUUUUCUUCCGCCUCGUGGAUAGUUCUAGUGUUUUUCUUCUUUUUGGUUCCAUUUCGUUGCUUUUUCGACGGAUUUUUGGUGCUACAUGUUCGUGCGUCUUUUCGUGCUUUUCCACUAAAUCAUUGAGGUUCUUUCUAUUUCGGGUUUCGUUGUCUGCGUGUUCCUUUCUUUAAUGUUUAUCCAUCAGAUUCCUAGGGAUUUUCCUUUACGAGGAUAUGUUCUAGGGUUUGUCCGGAAUUUUCCAUAGAAUCCUUGGGGUUUUUCCUAUUCUAGGGUCUCGUUGACUUUUCUUUUUUCGUUACUGUUCAGUUAGCUUCAUAAGGAUUUUUGACGGAUAUGUUGUAGGUUCUUGUCAUGUUUUUCUUUCAGAUUUUUAUGAUUCCAAUGAUUUUUCUUCGUUGUCUUCUUUACUGGAUCCUUAAACUUCUUCCUCCCGAAUGUGUCUUUAGGGUUUCGUUGGAAACUUUUACAUUCUCUCUAUGGCUAUUUUGUUAUUGAUUUAUCAGUUUUCUCAUUGAUUGAUUGCUGCGGAAAACCAUCCAUGGGUGAUUCUGGUCUGGUCUCUGAUUCCGGGAGGUUGGAUGGCCGAAAGGGAAACUGCUUUGGGGUCUAGCUACAUGCUUGUACAGACGAGUUUCAUAUCCUGAAUCCAAUUGGAGAAGGUUGUCACGAGUUUGUCUUUAGAGCCAAAGAUAAGACAAGUGGAGAAAUUGUGACUAUGAAGACAAGAAGAUUAUUAAUCGAGUUGCUUGGGGAAACAACAACCAUUGGAAGAGGGAGAUCAACUAUCUGAUGUCACCCAUCUAUCAUAGAGUUUUAUGGAUGUUGCAAUGAAUUUUUUUGGUUGUAGAAUAGGUGGAAAAUGACCUCAUAAGUUUUAUGGAGAAGGGGGCAAUCAUUUUUCGAGAGUGAAAUCAAAGUUUUGAUGAUUCAGCUCUUGCAAGAUGUGAGUGAUAUUCAGAUAUUUAGAUAUAUAAACAUCAAACAUCCUACUGAAUG